GGGGUUGAUUUUGGUUUCGACUUCGUUGACUAAGCCAGAGGAAGCGUGCCGGUGAAGGCUAGAGACCACCGUAAGCGUCGUAGCAACACAAUAAACGCAGAGAAGAACUCUCAGCGUGACUACGCCCUCGCUGCAUAAUCCAGCGACGCGUGUCUGUCAGCCCGUGUGAGCCUCACACACGGAAUCUGGCAUCGACUUUCGAGGCUUGCUUGUUUAGCGUGUUAGUGCGCUAAGCAAGGACAUCUUUCACUAACUGGGCCCGUCAUCCCACCUUGUUUGCCUGAGUGGGAGGGCCGAGCAGAGACACCGUGCAAACUGCGCACGGAGAAGCCCUGGCGCGGCAGCGAAGGACCCGGGUUCAAUUCCCGGCAGCUCCAC
rnacentral:tmRNA from 1 species